rnacentral:rRNA from 1 species
UGGGGAAUAUUGCACAAUGGGCGCAAGCCUGAUGCAGCCAUGCCGCGUGUGUGAAGAAGGCCUUCGGGUUGUAAAGCACUUUCAGCGGGGAGGAAGGCGAUAAGGUUAAUAACCUUAUCAAUUGACGUUACCGACAGAAGAAGCACCGGCUAACUCCGUGCCAGCAGCCGCGGUAAUACGGAGGGUGCAAGCGUUAAUCGGAAUUACUGGGCGUAAAGCGCACGCAGGCGGUUGAUUGAGUCAGAUGUGAAAUCCCCGGGCUUAACCCGGGAAUUGCAUCUGAUACUGGUCAGCUAGAGUCGUGUAGAGGGGGGUAGAAUUCCAUGUGUAGCGGUGAAAUGCGUAGAGAUGUGGAGGGAUACCGGUGGCGAAGGCGGCCCCCUGGACAAAGACUGACGCUCAGGUGCGAAAGAGUGGGGAGCAAACAGG